AGCGAACGCUGGCGGCGCGCCUAACACAUGCAAGUCGAACGCGAAAGCAGCCUUCGGGCUGUGAUUAGAGUGGCGAACGGGUGAGUAACACGUGGGUAACCUGCCCUCGAGUGGGGAAUAACCUUUCGAAAGGAAGGCUAAUUCCGCAUAACAUCCGGACCUCUCCGGGGGGCCGGAUCAAAGGUGGCCUCUGAUUUAAGCUACCGCUUGGGGAGGGGCUCGCGGCCCAUUAGCUAGUUGGUGAGGUAACGGCUCACCAAGGCUCCGAUGGGUAGCCGACCUGAGAGGGUGAUCGGCCAUACUGGGACUGAGACACGGCCCAGACUCCUACGGGAGGCAGCAGUGAGGAAUUUUCCGCAAUGGGCGAAAGCCUGACGGAGCGACGCCGCGUGCGUGAUGAAGGCCUUCGGGUCGUAAAGCGCUGUCGGAGGGGAAGAAACGUCGCGGGGUUAAUACCCCCGUGAUCUGACGGUACCC
rnacentral:rRNA from 1 species